rnacentral:rRNA from 1 species
CCGUUGCAGUCGACUGAUCGUGAAUGCAGACCGCGAGAAAACUCAAUUGACUUGACGGUGGACGACUCUCAGGAAUUGACAGAAUGCUGGGGCCAAUACCCCCAGCCCUUGACGUUUCCCGCACAAGAAGCACCGGCUAACUCCGUGCCAGCAGCCGCGGUAAUACUUGAUGGUGCAAGCGUUAAUCGGAAUUACUGGGCGUAAAGCGCACGUAGGCCGCCUGUCAAGUCCGAUGUGAAAUCCCCGGGCUCAACCUGGGAACUGCAUUUGAAACUGGCGGGCUUGAGUCUUGUAGAGGGGGGUGGAAUUCCCUGUGUAGCGGUGAAAUGCGUAAAAAUCUGGAGGAACACCCGUGGCGAAGGCGGCCCCCUGGACCAAGACUGACCCUCAGGUGCGAAAGCCUGGGGAGCAAACAGGAUUAAAUACCCUGGUAGUCCACGCCGUAAACGAUGUCGACUAGGAGGUUGUGCCCUUUAAGGGUUUCUUCCCGAGCUAAACCGUUUAAUCCACCGCCUGGGGAAACCGGCCCGAGGGUUAAACUCCAAUGAAUUUACCG